AUGUCGAUCUCUAUACAUGCAGCGAUGGCGAUAUGGCCCAACCGCACAUGGCCACCAGCAUACAUCCGUCCGGCCGACAUCACGUCCCCAUCGGCCGACCUCCAUCCACCCACGCGUCACGCAACGAUUCGUCCAACUCAGCACCGCUCCGCCUACAUAAUCCCCACUCGAGCUCAGCACCCGGGGAUAAGAAGGGAAGCACGAAGCAACAAGAAGACGACGAAGAAGAAGCAGCAGCCAACCAAAUCAAGAUACUUCACCAAGAUGGAGCACGCCAAGGAGAAGAUGAAGGACGGCGCGAGCGCGGCCAAGGCGAAGUCGACCAUCACGAAGGCCAAGGUGGCGGAGAAGGCGGAGGCGGCCACGGCGAGGUCGCACGACGAGCGGGAGCUGGCGCACGAGCGCGGCGCCGCCAAGGUGGCCGCCGCCGAGGCGCAGCUGCACCAGGACAAGGCCGCGCACCGCGAGGACGCCAUGUCGCACCACAUCCACAAGCACGGCGGCCACAAGCACGGCCAUAGCCACUGA
rnacentral:rRNA from 1 species